rnacentral:rRNA from 1 species
UACGGAGGGUGCAAGCGUUGUUCGGAAUUACUGGGCGUAAAGCGCGCGCAGGCGGUUUGUUAAGUCAGAUGUGAAAGCCCAUGGCUCAACCAUGGACGUGCAUUUGAAACUGGCAAGCUUGAGUAGUGGAGGGGGUGGUGGAAUUCCCGGUGUAGAGGUGAAAUUCGUAGAUAUCGGGAGGAAUACCGGUGGCGAAGGCGACCACCUGGCCACAUACUGACGCUGAGGCGCGAAAGCGUGGGGAGCAAACAGG